CCUACGGGUGGCAGCAGUGAGGAAUAUUGGUCAAUGGGCGCGAGCCUGAACCAGCCAAGUAGCGUGAAGGAUGACUGCCCUACGGGUUGUAAACUUCUUUUAUAAAGGAAUAAAGUGAGGCACGUGUGCCUGUUUGUAAGUACUUUAUGAAUAAGGAUCGGCUAACUCCGUGCCAGCAGCCGCGGUAAUACGGAGGAUGCGAUCGUUAUCCGGAUUUAUUGUGUUUAAAGGGAGCGUAGAUGGGGUGUUAAGUCAGUUGUGAAAGUUUGCGGCUCAACCGUAAAAUUGCAAUUGAAAAUGGCAGCAUUGAGUACAGUUGAGGUAGGCGGAAUUCGUGGUGUAGCGGUGAAAUGCUUAGAUAUCACGAAGAACUCCGAUUGCGAAGGCAGCUUACUAACCUGACACUGACAUUGAUGCUCGAAAGUGUGGGUAUCAAACAGGAUUAGAUACCCCAGUAGUC
rnacentral:rRNA from 1 species